CAUGGAUCCGCCUAGGCUGUCCCGAGUGUGAGCGAGGUGUGAGUGUCGCCCAUGGGCAUCGACACCUUGCGGCUAGGAACUGGAACGAGACGGGUAGCAAAGAUUUCGAGUAGCACUUCAUACUACCGUGGGUUUUUUAAACCUUCCGAGUUUUGUUGAUGUGUUUCCGAGAAUUAGCAAACCGUAACGAAGAUGUUCUUGGCAACCAUCUUUUGAUGGGAGUCCGGCUGUUCGAAAGCCGGCCAAGGGUGAUGAACGAAAUGUGAACCCUUGUCUCGCCUAGGUUGGAUGGGCGUGCUUCGUUGGAAAGCAUGGAUCCGCCUAGGCUGUCCCGAAGGUAUCUCGCGCUUGUACGGCUUUGGCUUGGAUUCG
rnacentral:pre_miRNA from 1 species